rnacentral:rRNA from 1 species
AACGCGAAGAACCUUACCCAGACUUGACAUGCACAGGACAGGUGUGGAAACACACCCUUCCUUCGGGACCUGUGCACAGGUGCUGCAUGGCUGUCGUCAGCUCGUGUCGUGAGAUGUUGGGUUAAGUCCCGCAACGAGCGCAACCCUCAUCUUCAGUUGCCAUCAGGUUAUGCUGGGCACUCUGAAGGAACUGCCGGUGACAAGCCGGAGGAAGGCGGGGAUGACGUCAAGUCCUCACGGCCUUUAUGGGCUGGGCUACACACGUGCUACAAUGGCGGUGACAGAGGGACGCGAAGGGGCAACCCUUGGCCAAUCUCAAAAAGCCGUCUCAGUUCGGAUUGUUCUCUGCAACUCGAGAGCAUGAAGCUGGAAUCGCUAGUAAUCGCGGAUCAGCACGCCGCGGCGAAUACGUUCCCGGGUCUGUACACACCG